GAGUGACCACUAAUCGUUGUUU
rnacentral:snRNA from 1 species